CGCGUAACCGAAAAGCUGCUGAUUCUGGGAUCGCGGAAAAUGAAAGAACAAGACGGAGGCAAGUAAAGGGAAAGAGAAUGGAGAAUGGUGAGCGGUUGUAGUGGUAGACUGUUAGGAGGGAGGUAGGGGGGCAAUGGCUCACCUACCUGCCGGUCGAGAGCUCAGUCGGUGUCCGCCAGGUUGAAAAUCCGUGACUUCUCCCGUUCGUUUCGUCGCGACUUCUUAAAGUUUCGAUAAAAAACGCGCGAAAAACGUCACGAGCGAAAACGUGGGAUGCGACGGACGUCGCACCGUCAACCGUCGUUCUUUCUCGGUGUUCGUUAAGGUGUUCGCUAUUUUAAAUUCGCGGUGAACAGCCGGCAUAUACGUCGCGUUUAUCCGGUAUUGUCAGAAAAACCUUCCGGUCGUGUUUUUCACGUGCAGACACGGUAACAGUGUACGGGAGCGCAUACUGACAAGCGCGUAUUUCGGUACAGGACGUGUGUGUGUGUUUACGUAUGGUGAUUGUGUUUACCGUGUUACGAUUGACACUGUGUAACGCGGAAAUUUCAAAUUGCGACGAUUGAACGUUGUUUUUGGCCGCGACGUAAACAUGCUCAGAUCGGAGAACAACAUUUGGCGGCAUUAGGUGACACCGGCGUACACACACAGCGAUAACUGCACACUAGGAAUCAUGGCGAGGACGAUUAGCUGGUUUUGCUGCCUCUUUGUGGUUUUAUGUUUUCGGGACGUUGCUUCGAAAACUGCCUUGUGCGAGGUGGAGUCAGGACAAUCCAAUAUUAUUCUUGACAUCGAGGAGAGUAGAGGGGAUG